rnacentral:rRNA from 1 species
AUCUGUAGCCAUAGCACCCUGAAUGUACCCCCGUCAAUCUGAUCUCUGAAGCUAUGCAGGCUCAGGCCUGGUUUGUACACUUGCAUGUGGAAACAACAAUAAAAAGCAAGUGCAGAAC